GACGAACGCUGGCGGCGUGCUUAACACAUGCAAGUCAACUGUGGCGGACGGGUGAGUAAAGCGUAAAGAACUUGCCUCACAGAUCGGGACAACAUUUGGAAACGAAUGCUAAUACCUGAUACUGUGAGAGAGCUUUGCGUCCCAUUAGCUAGUUGGAGAGGUAACGGCUCACCAAGGCGAGGAUGGGUAGCCGGCCUGGGAGUGUGAUCGGCCAAAAGGGGACUGGGACCCGGCCCUUACUCCUACGGAGGGCAUCAGUGGGGAUUAUUGGACAAUGUACCAAAGUCUGAUCCAGCAAUUCUGUGUGCACGAAGAAGUUUUCGGAAUGUAAAGUGCUUUCAGUUGGGAAACAGUACCAACAGAAGAAGUGACGGCUAAAUACGUGCCAGCCGCCGCGGUAAUAC
rnacentral:rRNA from 1 species